rnacentral:lncRNA from 1 species
GGCCGCGCGGCCCGGGCGCAGCCCCCCACCCCCGGGCGUCAGCACGGUUUCCGAGGCCGCGGCCUCCUGUGGGCAAGUUAGGGGCUGAGAGGCCUAGAAGACCUGCCACCAGGACGGAAGCGGCAGACGGUGGGCAGGAGGGAAGGUCAUUCCAGCCUCCAGAAACCUUCGUCAAAGUCUGUCUUGUGAAGGACACAAAUACCAGAAGUCUGAGUUGGAUUCAGUGAAGCUGAAUUUACAAUUGGCACCCCAUUUGAGACAACAGCAAAUUGCAAGGAAAGAUUUGUUCAAAAGCAGACCUGAGAGGUAAACACUACUUUGUCUAUAUUUCAUCUUUUUUCCCUAAUGAUAUCUGAAUGUAAGAUAGGAUGUUCUUAAUAAAAGAUGACUUGCUUUCCAAAAU